rnacentral:rRNA from 1 species
UACGUAGAGUACAAGCGUUGUCCGGAAUUAUUGGGCGUAAAGAGCUCGUAGGCGGUUUGUCGCGUCUGCUGUGAAAACUCAGGGCUUAACCCUGAGCCUGCAGUGGGUACGGGCAGACUAGAGUGUGGUAGGGGAGAUCGGAAUUCCUGGUGUAGCGGUGGAAUGCGCAGAUAUCAGGAGGAACACCGAUGGCGAAGGCAGGUCUCUGGGCCAUAACUGACGCUGAGAAGCGAAAGCAUGGGGAGCGAACAGG